rnacentral:rRNA from 2 species
GAUGAACGCUGGCGGCGUGCUUAACACAUGCAAGUCGAACGGAGCUUAGAAGGAAGCUUGCUUUCAUUUAAGCUUAGUGGCGGACGGGUGAGUAACGCGUGAGCAACCUGCCCUCGAGUGGGGAAUAACAUCGAGAAAUCGGUGCUAAUACCGCAUAAUGUCGAGAGACCGCAUGAUCUUUCGACCAAAGGAUUUAUUCGCUUGAGGAUGGGCUCGCGUCCGAUUAGUUAGUUGGUGAGGUAACGGCCCACCAAGACUUCGAUCGGUAGCCGAACUGAGAGGUUGAUCGGCCACAUUGGGACUGAGACACGGCCCAGACUCCUACGGGAGGCAGCAGUGGGGAAUAUUGGGCAAUGGGCGAAAGCCUGACCCAGCAACGCCGCGUGAAGGAUGAAGGUCUUCGGAUUGUAAACUUCUUUGAUUGGGGAAGAAUAAAAUGAC